rnacentral:tRNA from 1 species
GCAUCUAUGGCCGAGGGGUCGAAGGCAGUGGACUCAUAAUCCUCUUUCCUAUAUUAAGGACAUCGCUGGUUCAAAUCCAGCUAGAUGCA